ACAGUCUUAUUUCACUCCAUUUGGGAUUAAGAUUGGAUUUUUGAGAAAAUGAUUUCUGUCCUCUCAGAUCAUUAGACCAUUAUCAUGUUAUUGUUAGAAUAUAUUAUGAUGAAGGCUUUGAAGGAGUAACAAUAGCUGACAGUCUCUACUAGAAUCAGACACCCUGACUCAUGGACAAUUUCCAUCGAUGGAAUCGGAAGGUUAUAACAGAUGAGCUAAUAUGAUGACUUUGCUUUUUGAGGUCAGGCGGUGCUAAGAGGUGGAGCAGAGGACAUGCCGCGCGUUUGGAAGUAUCACCUUUGUAUCUUAUGAACACGUGGAGACUUCCCUGAGCAAGCAAGUGAUGAGCUGACAGAAGAAAACCUCCGCCCUCUUACCAGAGACUCCCCUCCCUUUUGCAGACUUCACUUGGAUAUCAUGUGUUUUCAACUGGUGUCAAAACCCAUGGGCCUUUUAUUUAUCUGUCUGGAUUGUUGAUUCAUGCUCAGCAUCACAGAAGGAACUUUCUCCCUUGUGCUUCCCCACUUGCCCUCCCUUUCCCUGUUAAAAAGAGCUAUCACUACUUCAGUAACUACAAGCAACAGAUCAUUUUAUGCUUUAAUCCAUAAAUAAACAUUUCUUCCUUUGAACUUCA